AUCGGGCCUCUAUAUUCUGGUGGCCAAGGUUAGAGGAUUACUCAGACGAUGAAUCUUUAAAAGCUACUUCUUAACUUAACUCUGAUUGGAUGAAUGAAUUCUGUAAACGAAUAAAAGUUUUAAUUAUUUUAAAGCAGGUAAACUUGAACCAAUCAACACCUACCAUUUCUUCAGCAUUGAUACUCUAUAAUCUUAGCUGUCAAGCAAGUUGUUUAUGUUAUUCUUUUGGAUUUUCAAAACUUGCAAUGCAUCUUUGAUUAAAACAUUCCAGCUUGAUCUUUGAUGAGCGAUGGCGGAUUUGGUAGAUGAAUUUUUACGUUAUGGUUUGUUUUUUGGAGCUAUAUUUCAGUUAGUUUGUAUUGCAGCUGUGAUUUUUAUUCCACCUAAAGAGGAAGGCCGGGAUUGUGGGGACUCUAGUGAUGAAGAUAUUUUACCAGAUGGCCCUAUUCACCAACCAUCUCACCGACAUCAUAGUCAUCAUGUAGGUCGCCGUAGUCGGCAAGAAAAGAAGAAGCGAAGAUAAUUUUUGGUGUGUAAUUGUCAAGGUUCAUUUUGUGUUUCAUCAUCUGAAUUUUUGUUGGAUCAUUUUAUUUGAUCCUUUUGGAAUGUUCUGUAAAUUUGUUAUAAUUUUUGCACAAAUAAAAGGUUUUGUAUGAAAAAGUAAA